UGGGAUAUAGCUCAGUUGGUAGAGUACUUGCCUCGUGUGCAUGAAGCCCUGGGUUCACUCCCCAGAACCACAC
rnacentral:tRNA from 1 species